CCUACGGGGGGCUGCAGUGAGGAAUAUUGGUCAAUGGACGAGAGUCUGAACCAGCCAAGUAGCGUGAAGGAUGACUGCCCUAUGGGUUGUAAACUUCUUUUAUAUGGGAAUAAAAUGUUCCACGUGUGGGAUUUUGUAUGUACCAUAUGAAUAAGGAUCGGCUAACUCCGUGCCAGCAGCCGCGGUAAUACGGAGGAUCCGAGCGUUAUCCGGAUUUAUUGGGUUUAAAGGGAGCGUAGGUGGAUUGUUAAGUCAGUUGUGAAAGUUUGCGGCUCAACCGUAAAAUUGCAGUUGAAACUGGCAGUCUUGAGUACAGUAGAGGUGGGCGGAAUUCGUGGUGUAGCGGUGAAAUGCUUAGAUAUCACGAAGAACUCCGAUUGCGAAGGCAGUUCACUGGACUGCAACUGACACUGAGGCUCGAAAGUGUGGGUAUCAAACAGGAUUAGAUACCCCAGUAUC
rnacentral:rRNA from 1 species